rnacentral:lncRNA from 1 species
ACAGAUCAUAUUUUUUUAUUUGACAGAUGGGGGAAAGAGCUUAAGAAGAUUAAGUGAUUUAAGUGCGGGAAGUAAGACCCCUUAGUUUUGACGGCCAGAUGUUCUUGGAGCUCCUGCUUCAUCCUCCUCCUGCCUCUGUACAGCUGCUCCCAGGGCACAGGGACAGCUGAAGACUUUGGAGACUGCAGCCCUUUUAAACUGGCUUUCAUCCAUCCACUCCCUGUGCAUUUGGAGGCCUACUGUUUACUUAUUCCCAGCUAAGUUCCUGCCUUUGAUGUCAGAAUUUCAGUGGGGUCCUAGAAAAGAAAACAUAUACAUACAUAAAUGAGGUAAUUGCAGGGUGAUAAUUGCUCUAGGGAACAGAAGUGGUGGUGGGAAGAGUGGAGGGGAGGGUGUAGGUGGGGGCUGCUGUAGACUGAGUGGUCAGGGAAGCUGUUUGGAGAUUAAAAUGAAAUCGAGGGAACAGCCUUCCAGGUAGAGAGCUGGGAAAGCGCAGACUGGCCCCUGCGGCAGAUGCUGGAGGAACAUGCCUAGGAAUGGAUGGAGGCCAAAGGGAGGAGAGCCCAGUGAGCCAGGGAGCCUGUAGGAGGUUCUGAGGAGGGCACUGGAAGCAACUGCAACCUUUGGAGAGUGGUUUGCACUGGAGGAGUGCUAAGAGCAGGGAGGAUGGGGAUCUUAGGCUAUCGGCUUCUGAGAUACUCCAUUUUUUUAUGUUGGAAUUAUUAUGAAAAUUAAAUAAGUUUAUAAGGAUGGAGGGGUUUUUUUCUUGAGUUUACCCAGAAAAAUCAUUCUCAUUAGUUCAUUAUCUGAUUUCAAUGAUUUAGAAAGUUAAUGAACACAUGUACAGACUGACCUGCUUGGAGAGCUGCAAUGAGAACAAACGUGGCUUUGCCGUCUGGCCAGGCAAUCGAUGCCUCCUGCCUGUCCCUGGCCGCCCCGCACCCACCUCUUACAGAUGUUACCUGUCUCCUGUUAAUUCUCCCGUGUCACUCUCCACUUCCCCGGUGGGGGUGGGGGGGGGGCGGUCAA